UACAGAGGGUGCGAACGUUGCUCGGAAUUACUGGGCGUAAAGCGCGUGUAGGCGGCUUUGCAAGUCGGGUGUGAAAGCCCUCAGCUCAACUGAGGAAGUGCGCCCGAAACUGCAGAGCUUGAGUGCCGGAGAGGGUGGCGGAAUUCCCCAAGUAGAGGUGAAAUUCGUAGAUAUGGGGAGGAACACCGGUGGCGAAGGCGGCCACCUGGACGGUAACUGACGCUGAGACGCGAAAGCGUGGGGAGCAAACAGG
rnacentral:rRNA from 1 species